rnacentral:rRNA from 1 species
AGAACGAACGCUGGCGGCAGGCUUAACACAUGCAAGUCGAACGCCCCGCAAGGGGAGUGGCAGACGGGUGAGUAACACGUGGGAACAUGCCCAAAGGUACGGAAUAUUCUCGGGAAACUGGGAGCAAUACCGUAUGUGCCCGAAAGGGAAAGAUUUAUCGCCUUUGGAUUGGCCCGCGUCGGAUUAGCUAGUUGGUGGGUAAAAGCUUACCAAGGCGACGAUCCGUAGCUGGUCUGAGAGGACGACCAGCCACACUGGGACUGAGACACGGCCCAGACUCCUACGGGAGGCAGCAGUGGGAAUCUUGGACAAGUGGGCGCAAGCCUGAUCCAGCCAUGCCGCGUGGAUGAUGGAAGGCCGUUAGGGUUAGUAAAAUUCCGUUUACGGACCGAGGACGAUAAUGACGGUACGUGGA